rnacentral:rRNA from 1 species
AGAGCGAACGCUGGCGGCAGGCCUAACACAUGCAAGUCGAGCGGUCGUAGCAAUACGGCAGCGGCAGACGGGAGAGUAACACGUGGGAACGCGCCCUUCGGUUCGGAAUAACUCAGGGAAACCUUGGGCUAAUACCGAAUACGCCCUUACGGGGAAAGAUUUAUUGCCGAAGGAACGGCCCGCGUCUGAUUAGCUUGUUGGUGAGGUAACGGCUCACCAAGGCGACGAUCGGUAGCUGGUCUGAGAGGAUGGCCAGCCUCACUGGGACUGAGACACGGCCCAGACUCCUACGGGAGGCAGCAGUGGGGAAUAUUGGACAAUGGGCGCAAGCCCUGAUCCAGCCAUGCCGCGUGGGUGAUGAAGGCCCUAGGGUUGUAAAGCCCUUUCGGCGGGGAAGAUAAUGACGGUACCCGCAGAAGAGGCCCCGGCUAACUUCGUGCCAGCCGCCGC